GGUCUCCGUGGCCUCCCUCUGAAUGGUGAUCCACCACCUCCGUCUUGUUGUGCGACUGAGGUUUGUAAACGACCCCCGGGUAACUGGAAAGAAAGACAGAAUAUAGAAAGUUUGGUGAAAAAAAUCAGAUUAUGUGAUCAUGCAUCUCAUUUGAAAGCAUAUAAAACAAGUCUUAUUUAAUUUGUAGGUAGACAGAGCGCAAAAUUGAAUCUACACACACCUGUAGACAAGUUAGUUUUAGAUAUCUAGGUGCAUUCACAUCAUUUGCUGUCACUAUUAACCAAUGAGCCCACUCACCGUGGUUUUUCAUCCUUCAUAAUUUCUUUGAAAGCCACAGACUUCAGGACGCCACCGAUGAGCAGGAUGCCGCUUCCAAUCCAGGCGACAAACAGAGCUGGACCGAACGUGUAUCUGGUGGAGACGAACAGGACGUCAUGAAGCCCCAACGUAGCUGAGAGACGAUUCCUGGCCUGUGUAGCCGCUGGAACUGUUUUUGGUUGGAACUGUGGAUUAUUGAAUGGGAUUACAGCAUCCACAUAGAACACAGCAACCUCCACUCUCAUUCAAAGCAGAACAGGAACUCUUUGCCAUGUUACCAGGGCGGGUUGGUGAAGAGGCACAUGUCUCACGUCUCUUGAGCAGCGGCUGUCCUGAGCCAGGCUGGAAGGAGGGGAGCAGAGAUGCUGUCACAAAGGCAAGCACCGAUAAACCCCUACAGGGAGAGGUGUCUUGAUUGAUUCGCCACGUCAGCUGAUGCACUUAGCAACACGCAGGAACACAGUCUACCUUAAAAGUUACCGGUAGGUGCCAGUUGUCUUUCAGCAGCUCAAUGAAUUGAAUUAUUUCAUUCUUUAAUUUUUUACUUUUAAGCAUUAAUUUUUUUUCUCGUGUCUAUACGUUGACCAUUUAAUUUAAGAAGGCUUCAAACUUGUUUGAAACCCAACUUUUUUUAUGUCAAUAUAUCGAUUGGUUACUAUUGAUGGUAGACAAUAUAUUUAUUUACAAAAUAUCACUAUGCUGCUGGCUGCCAGUCUGCCAUAUGAUAAUUUAACUAAUAGCAAUAUGCUAAUAUGACAUAAUCGUUUAAAAUGGAAGUAUGAGGCUGUUGUUUUUGUAAAUAAAUGACCGAGAAAAUAAUGUAAUGACCACAAAAGUUUGCUGAAGGUUCCCUGGAGGUCCUCUGAAGGUUUCACAAAACAGGCACCAUUCCCCAAAGUGUACCUAAGCAUUUUCUGAAGUUCCCUUGAAAGUUUCACAAAAUAGCGAACGUUCCCUGAAGGUUUUCUAAAGGUUCUCUGAAGCAAAUCUUUGAAAAAUCUGGGGAACGAAGGUUCUUCUUCAGGGAACCUUCAGGGAAUUUUCACUGUUUGCUGCCAAGUUGACUUACUUAAGUAUUCUUAAAGUCAGUCUAAUAUUUCAUCAAGUGGUCAGUUAUAGUUGAUUAAGGUAUGUAAACACACCACUUCAGGAUCACUGGUCACAAAAUCUUAAAAACAAGAUAGAUUCUUAGUAAUACUUUAAUGAAGUUACACAUGUAAGGUUAGCUAUCGAUACUUUUCAGUAUCAGCCAAUAAAAAUCAUUGUAGAGUGUUCAACGGAAACAUAAAUGUUUUACAAGGAGCCUUUUAGCUCCCUCUUUGGGCCAGCUGCAACUAAAGCAAGUUCAAAUGUUCUCAUAAUGGACACCCAAGCAACAUUUUCUGCUUCAUUACAUAUAGCUGCACUAAAUUGUUUCUUUAAAAACACACACACACAUAUUAACUUAUUGUAGAGCUACAAAAUUCCCAAACAUUGAGAUAGAUAGAUAGAUAGAUAGAUAGAUAGAUAGAUAGAUAGAUAGAUAGAUAGAUAGAUAGAUAGAUAGAUAGAUAGAUAGAUAGAUAGAUAGAUAGAUAGAUAGAUAGAUAGAUAGAUAGAUGUUACAAGAUGGAUAUAGAUGGAUAUGCAAAUUGUGCUGGUCGAAAAAUAGCAAUAAAGUGCUGGUAUUUACAAAAAAAGGUGCAAGAAAAGCUGUAGAAAUUCACAUUUUACUGCUCUAUCAAUAAUAUUGAAUCAGUUGAUCUGAUUAGUUGCAUUAUCUUAACAAGACAGACAUUUAUUAGGCGACAAGAAACGAGCUGACCAUGAAAAUACCAAAACUGUUAUUCAAAAAAUGCAACUGACAAAGUCCUCUCACUUCAAGAUGUGUUUUGCAGACGUGUAAUAUUUUUAACGCACCAUUCAUAGCUGAAAUUGCACACAAUUCCUCUAAGCACGCAAAGGAUUGAAAUGACUUUACAUUAAAGAAAAUGUACGUUAUUAUACAAUUUAUUUAAUACAUUCAGUUAUAUUUAUUAUAUUCUAACUGUGGGUUUGAAGAUACUGAUGAUCCCUGAAGCUCACAGAUGGAGAGUUUACAAAAUGCUCCAUCUGCUCGUAUCACAAUCUGGACUAUAUGAAUAAUUCAGGGUAAUGCAGCAGGGAUGAACUAUUAGCCAAAAAAGAAUUAAAAAAAAAAAAAAAAAAAAUUUAAUUAUUUUGACAGAUGUUGUGAUUUUUGGAUUAUUAUGGGUAGAAAUAUAGCUCACUAGAAACUAAAUUUGAAUUGCUCGACUUGAAUAACUGUAACAAAAACCAAAAUUAUUCAGUACAUUAAUUAGUUUGAUUCAGACUGAGCAUUUCAAAAUCACAUUACGAGCUUUAAAUGGAAAAUUUUAGGAGGAUUUGAAAUAAUGCAUUUAAGUGGAAAUACACUGUUCUUCAGAUAUUUCUACCAGAUACUCGACAAAUACUCCAUCUGCUGAUUGUGUGGUAAAGUGACGAACAAGAUAGUUCCAGAAAGUCACAAAUUAUUGGCAUUUUGUAUAAUAUCUCUGUGAGACCUGGGAGAUCUUUUUUUUAUUACUAUAUCUUUAUUUUUUAGCCCUGUUGUAUA